GCUGGAGAGGGCGUGAGACGUCGCACAUGGGCCAUGGACAGGAUGCUAGGCUGAAAGAGCAGCAAAACAUGAAGGAAGAAACAUCAUAUGAUGUAACAUCUUAGCUACAAAGCAAAUUCGUACUCCACUGAAGAGUGCUCCAUUCAGUGUUCCAAAGGAAGAUAAUGCUGCUGCAAUAGACAUCACCCAUCCCCAGCUGCCCAGCACCUUAUUGCUGUUCUCAGAGAAAAGAUGGUGAUCUUCAGAGUCAUGACGGCCAGAUAACUGAUAUUGACCAGCAAGUAGAGGAUGGUAACCAUUGGGAUGGCAAUCAUUAAUGCCCGGGGUAGAUUUACCUUUCACAAAUGGAUAUAAUGUAAAAUUAAGUACAGUUAUUUGUUGAUAUUUACAAAAUAAUCAUUCAUGCAGUUCUAGAUGUCCCACCAACUUGGAUUUCUAUUUCCUCUGGAGCAUAUCUUUGGUCAACACCCUUUCAACACUUAAUAUCAAAUUGCCUUUACACUUUAACACCUGUAUACUGAAUUGAUUUGUAAUCCCACUAUCUGGUCGGAUUUGUAUAGACUCGUCACUCCUGUGGGGAGAUACCAACUAGUCGGGCAGUAGGAAAAAAAAACAGCAAGGCCGACUGACACAAAGUUUAAAUUGUACCAUCCUGCGAAAGACCAGAGUCCCUGAUACAGAGCCAUUCCAAUGGUACUGAUUUCCAAAGUUGUACCCUUAAAGGCAAUGUCUGGAUUUUCAAGGUUUUCUAGGCCAU